AACUGGGUUGCAUGGUGGUGCAAGUGGUUAGUACGCCUGCCUCCAUAACUGAAGGUUAAUGUCACUUCUGCAUCAUUCCCGGUGUAGAUUUUGAG